GAACGCCUUUUUGCCAUAAGCGAGGUAUAGAGUUCCUACGUGCUGAUUCGCUAUCGUAGGAACUUAAUACCGUGCUCUUGGAGGGCUGUUUUUC
rnacentral:pre_miRNA from 12 species